UACGGAGGGUGCAAGCGUUAUCCGGAUUCACUGGGUUUAAAGGGAGCGUAGGAGGGCAGGUAAGUCAGUGGUGAAAUCUUCGAGCUUAACUCGGAAACUGCCGUUGAUACUAUCUGUCUUGAAUACCGUGGAGAUGAGCGGAAUAUGUCAUGUAGCGGUGAAAUGCUUAGAUAUGACAUAGAACACCGAUUGCGAAGGCAGCUUGCUGGACCUGUAUUGACGCUGAGGCACGAAAGCGUGGGGAGCAAACAGG
rnacentral:rRNA from 1 species